rnacentral:rRNA from 1 species
CCUACGGGAGGCAGCAGUAGGGAAUUUUCGUCAAUGGGCGCAAGCCUGAACGAGCGAUGCCGCGUGAGUGAAGAAGGCCUUCGGGUCGUAAAGCUCUGUUGCGGGGGAAAAAAGGCAGCAUCAGGAAAUGGGUGCUGACUGAUGGUGCCCCGCCAGAAAGUCACGGCUAACUACGUGCCAGCAGACGCGGUAAUACGUAGGUGGCGCGCGUUAUCCGGAAUGGUUGGGCGUAAAGGGUGAGCAGGCCGUCCUGCAAGUCUGGAGUGAAACGCAUGAGCUCAACUCAUGCAUGGCUUUGGAAACUGGAGGACUGGAGAGCAGGAGAGGUCGGUGGAACUCCAUGUGUAGCGGUAAAAUGCGUAGAUAUAUGGAAGAACACCAGUGGCGAAGGCGGCCGCCUGGCCUGUUGCUGACGCUGAGGCACGAAAGCGUGGGGAGCAAAUAGGAUUAGAUACCCCUGUAGUC